rnacentral:rRNA from 1 species
UACAGAGGUCUCAAGCGUUGUUCGGAUUCAUUGGGCGUAAAGGGUGCGUAGGCGGCGCGGUAAGUCGGGUGUGAAAUCUCGGAGCUUAACUCCGAAACUGCAUUCGAUACUGCCGUGCUUGAGGACUGGAGAGGAGACUGGGAAUUUACGGUGUAGCGGUGAAAUGCGUAGAUAUCGUAAGGAAGACCAGUGGCGAAGGCGGGUCUCUGGACAGUUCCUGACGCUGAGGCACGAAGGUCAGGGGGAGCAAACGGG